UUCAAGACCAACCUCAGACACUUACUAGCUGUGUGAAACCAGGAAGACCCCAAGGCAAGGUGAAAAGAACACUGACUGGCUUCAGAGGCAGAGGACAUGGAUUCAGAUCCCCCCAGGGAUGCUUAUUGCCUAUGGGACCUUAGGAGAGAGCUCUGCCCAAAUGUUUGAAGCCUUAGAAACAGUGCUGAUUGAGUGAUCCAUCUGUCAAGCAUGUCCCUGUGGAAGAUCCUUCAAGUCAUGGGCAUACAACUGGGACUUCAAGAUCAUCCUGUUUCAGCACCCUCAUUUCACAGGUAAGCAAACUGAGUACCAGCUUG